GAUGAACGCUGGCGGCGUGCCUAACACAUGCAAGUCGAGCGAACAGAUCAGGAUUUUUCUCCUCUGACGUUAGCGGCGGACGGGUGAGUAACACGUGGAUAACCUACCUAUAAGACUGGGAUAACUACGGGAAACCGGAGCUAAUACCGGAUAAUAUAUCGAACUUCAUGCUUCAAUCGUGUAAUUCGGUUUUGCUUUCACUAACAGCUGGAUCAGCGCCGCAUGAGUUAGUUGUGAAGGUAACGGCUUACCAAGGCAAGGAUGCGUAGCCGACCUGAGCGGGUGAUCGGCCAGCCGGGAACUGAGACACGGUCCAGACUCCUAGGCGGGGCAGCAGUAGGGAAUCUUCCGCGAUGGGGGAAAGCCUGACCGAGCAACGCGGCGGGAGUGAUGAAGGUCUUCGGAUGGUAAAACGCUGUUAUUAGGAGAAAACAAAUAUGUAAUUAACGAUGCACGUAUUGACGGUACCUGGACAAAAAGCCCCGGCUAACUACGUG
rnacentral:rRNA from 1 species